UACGUAGGGGCCGAGCGUUGUCCGGAGUUACUGGGCGUAAAGCGCGCGCAGGCGGUUUCCUAAGCCCAGCGUGAAAGCCCCCGGCUCAACCGGGGAGGGUCGUUGGGGACUGGGGGACUUGAGGACGGCAGGGGCCGGUGGAAUCCCCGGUGUAGGGGUGAAAUGCGUAGAGAUCGGGGGGAACACCCGUGGCGAAGGCGGCCGGCUGGGCCGUUCCGGACGCUGAGGCGCGAAGGCGUGGGGAGCGAACGGG
rnacentral:rRNA from 1 species